GAUCUUAUAGUCAAAUGGUUAAGACAUUAGAGCUUCAUUCUAAUAGUACUGGUUCGAUUCCAGUUAAGAUUA
rnacentral:tRNA from 3 species